rnacentral:rRNA from 1 species
UACAGAGGGUGCAAGCGUUUAAUCGGAAUUAUUGGGCGUAAAGGGCUUGUAGGUUGUUCUAUAAGUUAGGUGUGAAACCCCUGGGCUUACCUGGGACGUGCAUUUAAUACUGUAGAGCUAGAGUAUGGUAGAGGAGUAGGGAAUUCCUGGUGUAGCAGUGAAAUGCGUAGAGAUCAGGAGGAACAUCAGUGGCGAAGGCGCUACUCUGGACUAAUACUGACACUGAGGAGCGAAGGCGUGGGGGAGCAAACAGG